rnacentral:rRNA from 1 species
UACGUAGGGUGCAAGCGUUGUCCGGAAAUUAUUGGGCGUAAAGAGCUUGUAGGCGGUUUGUCGCGUCUGCUGUGAAAUUUCGGGGCUCAACCCCGAACUUGCAGUGGGGUACGGGCAGACUAGAGUGUGGUAGGGGGAGACUGGAAUUCCUGGUGUAGCGGUGAAAUGCGCAGAUAUCAGGAGGAACACCGAUGGCGAAGGCAGGUCUCUGGGCCAUAACUGACGCUGAGAAGCGAAAGCAUGGGGAGCGAACAGG